UCACUAGGGUUUGCUCCAGCUUUAGGAGAUGGAUAAGAGCCUGAAGCUAAAGGGCGGAUCCACUCCUUACUGUUGAGGUCAAGUCGCCAUAGAUCAUUGAAGGCAGCAUUGCAACUACUCUGAGUGCAACCCCCAAACACGUACAUGGACUGGUUUGAAUCAUAAUAGCAUGCACCUGC